rnacentral:rRNA from 1 species
GGGAUUGCCUCAGUAACGGCGAGUGAAGCGGCAAGAGCUCAAAUUUGAAAUCUGGCCCCUCUGGGGUCCGAGUUGUAAUUUGCAGAGGAUGCUUCGGGUGCGGUCCCCGUCUAAGUGCCCUGGAACGGGCCGUCAUAGAGGGUGAGAAUCCCGUCUGGGAUGGGCGGCCGCGCCCGUGUGAAGCUCCUUCGACGAGUCGAGUUGUUUGGGAAUGCAGCUCUAAGCGGGUGGUAAAUUUCAUCUAAAGCUAAAUACUGGCCGGAGACCGAUAGCGCACAAGUAGAGUGAUCGAAAGAUGAAAAGCACUUUGAAAAGAGAGUUAAAUAGCACGUGAAAUUGUUGAAAGGGAAGCGUUGUCCACCAGACUCGCCCGGGGGGGCUCAGCCGGCACGUGUGCCGGUGUACUCCUCUCCGGGCGGGCCAGCAUCGGUUUGGGCGGCUGGUGAAAGGCCCCGGGAAUGUACCACCCUCCGGGGUGUCUUAUAGCCCGGGGUGCCAUGCAGCCAGCCUGGACCGAGGCCCGCGCUUCGGCGAGGAUGCUGGCGUAAUGGUGGUCAACGGCCCGUCUUGAA